GCCAGGCUGCAGAAUUUGGCCAUCCUCAAACACCACCUUUAAUGGCAAAGGAGGGAUGGGAAAACUCCUGAAGACCAGGUAGCCAUGGAGUGCUACAUUUCUGGAUGGAAAGGGGACCACACAGGAUUCACAACUGGGCUCCUCUUGCUGUGUUGGAGGGAGAUGUUUCACCUGAGCACCAUGUUUCACAUGGCAGUGGGGCAAGGCACUGAGGCUGUGUGGCAUGGCACCACAGGGUGGCCACUGGUCCCUGAGUCGGCAGACCUGGCUCUCUUCUCCCUGCCAUGCUGACUUCAUGUUUAUGGCUAACAAGCCUCUCCCAGGGAGCAGCUGAGCUUCAGGGGCAUUCCUGGAGCGUCCAGGAGAGCAAUAUGGCCCUUUGCUGGUGGAGAACCUGAGACCCUCAAGGAGAAAGUGAAGAAAAUUCUCUCUGCAUACAGACCCCUUCCCAUUUUCCCAUUCUGGGUUGACUAUCCUCCCUCAUAGAUGUGCUCAUGAGUCUUGGAAAUCCUCUUGACUC
rnacentral:lncRNA from 1 species